UGUUAAAAAAUUUAUCCAUUUUUAUGAUUAAAAAUUGACAUGGCUGACAAAAUAAUCAAACAGUGACACUUGACGUGCCACAUGUACCUCAUGCUGACGUACAAGAGCCAAGUUUUUAACAAUAGUAAUGGAUGAAAUUUUUAACA
rfam:Gossypium arboreum cultivar AKA8401 contig_84468_1, whole genome shotgun sequence.